rnacentral:rRNA from 1 species
UACGUAGGGGGCAAGCGUUAUCCGGAAUUACUGGGUGUAAAGGGUGCGUAGGUGGUAUGGCAAGUCAGAAGUGAAAACCCAGGGCUUAACUCUGGGACUGCUUUUGAAACUGUCAGACUGGAGUGCAGGAGAGGUAAGCGGAAUUCCUAGUGUAGCGGUGAAAUGCGUAGAUAUUAGGAGGAACAUCAGUGGCGAAGGCGGCUUGCUGGACUGAAACUGACACUGAGGCACGAAAGCGUGGGGAGCAAACAGG